GGUUACCAUCAUUACAUCAUUCAACAACAUGCUUUACCUAACACCAACCCCAACCAUGUUGAAUUUCAUAUUAUAAUGGGCCACCAUGUUCACCAACUACUUAUUUUUCCCCCAUUGCAUUUGAAAGACCUAAUUCCAAGAAGAAAGAUCAAGCCACUCAACUCAGCAUUGCCCUUCAGAUCUUUGUGGUAUUUUUCACGAUGUUUUAACUCUUUCAAGGGAUCUUCAUAUGAUAAUUUUUUUUCAUGUAUGUCUCUAGAUUAGGCAAUCAAGCUGCUUAUAAAUUUGCUAGUUGACAAAAAAAAAGAAAAAAAAAGCCUAGCAUGGGACUAUUUCUAUGUAUCCAUGGCAAAUGAUCGAGUCUGAAAAUAUUUCAACUGGCAAA
rnacentral:misc_RNA from 1 species